rnacentral:rRNA from 1 species
AGGACGAACGCUGGCGGCGUGCCUAACACAUGCAAGUCGAACGGAGCCCGCAAGGGUUCAGUGGCGAACGGGUGCGUAACACGUGAGGAACUUGUCCAUCGGCGGGGGAUAGCCGGCCCAACGGCCGGGUAAUACCGCGUACGCCGUCCGGAGCGCAUGCUCUGGCCGGGAAAGCAGCAAUGCACCGAUGGAGAGCCUCGCGGCCUAUCAGCUAGUUGGUGGGGUAAUGGCCUACCAAGGCGACGACGGGUAGCUGGUCUGAGAGGAUGACCAGCCACAUUGGGACUGAGACACGGCCCAGACUCCUACGGGAGGCAGCAGUGGGGAAUAUUGCGCAAUGGGCGAAAGCCUGACGCAGCGACGCCGCGUGUGGAUGACGGCCUUCGGGUUGUAACCACUGUCGCGAGGGACGAAGAUCUGACGGUACCUCGAAAGGAAGCACCGGCUAACUCUGUGCCAGCAGCCGCGGUAA